rnacentral:tRNA from 1 species
UCCCUGGUGGCUUAGUGGUAAAGAAUCCACCUGCCAAUGCGGGAAACACAGGUUUGAUCCCUGAUCUGGGAA